GGAAAAAAAAAAAAAGGAAACCCAACUGCACGUCACACUCACGAAUCACCUAUCAGCAUGGCAGCCUACCGAUACGCUGCUUGGCUGAUGUCCCGCCAAGCUUUUGGCCCUCCCUCAGAGACUCCCCAAGGGUCUCUCCUUGAUACCCCAUUGCAUCGCUGGCAUCCCCUGAUCAGCACCUUUACUUACCCCUUUAGCUUUACCCUACCACCUUUCUAAAAAUAGCCUAAGCCAACAUGGUUAAUCUUUCGUUAAACGUUAUAAAUGAAAGUGUUUAUUUCCUUGGCAGGCGAAUACAUACAAAAAUAAAUCAAAUUUUGAAAUUGGAAAAAGGAAAAUAAAAUGAGUGAAAGUACAAAAAGAAGGAUCCAAAAUAUCCAGGAAAGUGAGAAGUUAUAAAAGGGGUGUAAAACGAAAACCAAUAGAAGUCAAGAUCUAUUAAUAACAUUCAUUUGCCGGGGAAUUGUCCCCCUCGAAGUUCAUUCGCCCUCCUUCUCCAAAAUGUUCAGCGGGUCUCUUUGACUGACAGACGGCCGUCCGUGUAUUGUAGACAGUGUUCGUUAUGUCCGUCUGUCUUGUAUAAAUGUUCAUAUAUGUAUGUGUACCUUUUCUUUUUUCUUGUCUCUUACUAAUAUAUUUCUUUCCUUAUACUCUUCUUCUUUUUCAGGCUUCCUUUUAGGUUGGACAAGUGGCUACGGGGUCAAGGAACCCCAAUCUAAAGUCUAGGACCUACCUAAGAUAAGAGCUCAUAUCCUAGCGCCUAUUUGGUUCCCUAUAUCUGGGACGAGAUUACCGUAAAGAGCACUCCCUUGUCUAACCGAACAUCGUCCGUCAGUGUCCUAGUCCUGGAUAUACCGCUGCAACCAGGAGGGCUGCAGAAUGCUGGAUCUCCCACGCUGGACUGGAGCGGUGCUGGUGGCUGACGGUGGGAACGAUGAGUUCGUGACUUUUACUGAUAUUUUGCGUGCUUAGCGCUUUCGUUGUGAUUCUGCUGGCAGGUUCAUAUGCUUCGUGUGUAUUUUAGGUGUUGGUUUACGAGCGUUUACAGCCUUCGAAAUUGUUCACAGGUUUGAUAAUUGAAACAAGGAAAAAAAUGUUCACCGUGUUUAAAUAAACGCUACUGCCAUCUAUUAAUAAAAAAAAUGCACUUUCCCACCAUCGAUGGUGAAGGGGUUUUUCUGCUUCAAAAGCGUUCAAAUUGA